rnacentral:rRNA from 1 species
UCCUAGCUGUAAACGAUGCGGGCUAGGUGUUGGUAUUACUGCGAGUGAUGCCAGUGCCGAAGGGAAGCCGUUAAGCCCGCCAUCUGGGGAGUACGGUCGCAAGGCUGAAACUUAAAGGAAUUGGCGGGGGAGCACUACAACGGGUGGAGCUUGCGGUUCAAUUGGAUUCAACGCCGGAAAUCUCACCGGAGGGGACAGCGAGAUGAAGGUCAGGCUAAAGACCUUACCGGAUUAGCUGAGAGGUGGUGCAUGGCCGUCGGCAGUUCGUGUCGUGAAACAUCCUGUUAAGUCAGGCAACGGGCGAGACCCGUGCUCACAGUUGCCAGCAUGUUCUCCGGAACGAUGGGCACUCUGCGAGGACCGCCAUCGCUAAGAUGGAGGAAGAAGCGGGCCACGGUAGGUCAGUAUGCCCCGAAUCCUCCGGGGCUACACGCGUGCUGCAAUGGGUA